rnacentral:sRNA from 1 species
CUUACAUAAUAAUCCGGUCAUUUGAAUGGCAUGCUAUUCAAAUGACCGGAUUACAUGCUAUUCAAAUGACCGGAUUAUUAUGUAAG